GAGGAACGGAAAAUGGGCUCCAGUGCCUAACGACUUCCAGAAUGAGAGAAAAGGAAACUCGCUGUUAAAUCAGAAUGCUCCCAGACCAGGGGAGAUGAGGAGGGAGCAGUGGUCACUGGAGGUCGGAGUUAACGAAACAGCCCUCUUCUUUGCUGAAAAUCUCAGUAGAAAUUCACUCUUCUGUGAAGUGUACUAUCCCAGCAGAAGACA
rnacentral:lncRNA from 1 species